GCGGAUGUAGCCAAGUGGAUCAAGGCAAUGGAUUGUGAAUCCAUCAUACGCGGGUUCAAUUCCCGUCGUUCGCCC
rnacentral:tRNA from 1 species